UACGAAGGGGGCUAGCGUUGCUCGGAAUCACUGGGCGUAAAGCGCACGUAGGCGGAUCUUUAAGUCAGGGGUGAAAUCCCAAGGCUCAACCUUGGAACUGCCUUUGAUACUGAGGAUCUCGAGUUCGGGAGAGGUGAGUGGAACUGCGAGUGUAGAGGUGAAAUUCGUAGAUAUUCGCAAGAACACCAGUGGCGAAGGCGGCUCACUGGCCCGAUACUGACGCUGAGGCACGAAAGCGUGGGGAGCAAACAGGG
rnacentral:rRNA from 1 species